rnacentral:rRNA from 1 species
CUAACGAUUGAUCUAGUUACUUAGAAGAAUGAAAAACCAAAUAAAAAUAAAAGGAAUUUGAAAAAAAUAAAAUUUAAAUUUUAUAAAAAAUAAUGAUUUUAUAAAAUCUAGUCUUAACAAAAAUUAGUGCCAGCAGUUGCGGUUAAACUAAGAAGACAAACGUUAAUCAUUAAGGCUUAAAGGAUCCGUAGAACAAUAAAUAAAUAAUUAUUUAUUAGAGUUUAAAAAUGUUAAAAGAAUAGUUAUGGUAAAGAUCAAAUUUAAUAAUCAUAAAAAGACUUCUAAUGUGAAGACAUUUAACUUUGAAAAACUGACGUUGAGAGGAUGAAAGCAUAAGGAGUAAAAUGGAUUAGAUACCCAUUUAAUUUAUGCAGUAAACGAUGAAUACUAAUUGAUUAAUAUUUAUAUAUAUAUAUUAAUUUAUAAAGUGAAAACGUAAGUAUUCCGCCAGGUGAG